rnacentral:rRNA from 1 species
AUUGAACGCUGGCGGCAGGCCUAACACAUGCAAGUCGAGCGGAUGAAGGGAGCUUGCUCCUGGAUUCAGCGGCGGACGGGUGAGUAAUGCAUAGGAAUAUGCCUGGUCGUGGGGGAUAACGUCAGGAAAGGGGCCCUAAUAUCGCAUCCGUCCUGAGGUAGAAAGUGAGGGAUCUAUGGACCAAAAGCUUUUAGAUGACCCUGGUACGUAUAACCUAGUUGGUGGGGUAAGGGCCUACCAAGGCGACGAUCCGUAACUGAUCUGCGAGGGUGAUCAGACACACUGGAACUGAGACACGGUCCAGACUCCUACGGGAGGCAGCAGGAGGGAAUCUUCCGCAAUGGGCGAAAGCCUGACGGAGCAACGCCGCGUGAGUGAUGAAGGUCUUCGGAUCGUAAAACUCUGUUAUUAGGGAAGAACAAAUGUGUAAGUAACUAUGCACGUCUUGACGUUACCUAAGCAGAAAGCCACGGCUAACUACGUG